rnacentral:rRNA from 1 species
CCUACGGGAGGCAGCAGUGGGGAAUAUUGCACAAUGGGGGAAACCCUGAUGCAGCGACGCCGCGUGAGUGAAGAAGUAUCUCGGUACGUAAAGCUCUAUCAGCAGGGAAGAAAAUGACGGUACCUGACUAAGAAACACCGUCUAACUACGUGCCAGCAGCCGCGGGAAUAAGUAGGGGGCAAGCGUUAUCCGGAUUUACUGGGUGUAAAGGGAGCGUAGACGGCAGCACAAGUCUGGAGUGAAAUCCCGGGGCUUAACACCGGAACUGCUUUGGAAACUGUGCGGCGGGAGUGCAGGAGGGGUAAGCGGAAUUCCUAGGGGAGCGAUGAAAUGCGUAGAUAUUAGGAGGAACACCGGUGGCGAAGGCGGAUUACUGGACUGUAAAUGACGUUGAGGCUCGAAAGCGUGGGGAGCAAACAGGAUUAGAUACCCGAGUAGUC